UAGCGCGUAUUUAAUAGCUCAAUUAUUUACAGAAUGUGACAGUAUAUUCUCUAUGCAAUAGUUCUGUUUUUCUCUUUUUAUACACUUAGAAUUUCGGAAUUUGUUAAUUUUGUUUGGAAUUUUCUUUUCAUAUAAAAUAAGAUUCGGGUGUACCAACCAUUAAACUGUGUACUCUCUUAUAUUUUUGUUUGCGUUUUGAUUUUCU